GACGAACGCUGGCGGCGUGCUUAACACAUGCAAGUCGAACGAUGAACCCGGAGCUUGCUCCGGUGGAUUAGUGGCGAACGGGUGAGUAACACGUGAGUAACCUGCCCUUGACUCUGGGAUAACUGCGGGAAACUGUAGCUAAUACCGGAUACGACCCUCGGAGGCAUCUCCUGGGGGUGGAAAGAAUUUCGGUCAAGGAUGGACUCGCGGCCUAGCAGCUAGUUGGUGAGGUAAAGGCUCACCAAGGCGACGCCGGGUAGCCGGCCUGAGAGGGUGACCGGCCACACAGGGACUGAGACACGGCCCAGACUCCCACGGGAGGCAGCAGUGGGGAAUAUUGCACAAUGGGCGCAAGCCUGAUGCAGCAACGCCGCGUGAGGGAUGACGGCCUUCGGGUUGUAAACCUCUUUUAGCAGGGAAGAAGCGAAAGUGACGGUACCUGCAGAAAAAGCACCGGCUAACUACGUGCCAGCCGCCGCGGUAA
rnacentral:rRNA from 1 species